rnacentral:rRNA from 1 species
UACGGGGGGAGCACGCGUUGUUCGGAUUUACUGGGCGUAAAGGGCGCGUAGGCGGUCAGCACAAGUCAGUUGUGAAAUCUCCGGGCUUAACUCGGAAAGGUCAACUGAUACUGUGCGACUAGAGUGCAGAAGGGGCAACUGGAAUUCUCGGUGUAGCGGUGAAAUGCGUAGAUAUCGAGAGGAACACCUGCGGCGAAGGCGGGUUGCUGGGCUGACACUGACGCUGAGGCGCGAAAGCCAGGGGAGCGAACGGG